rnacentral:rRNA from 1 species
GGGGAAUAUUGGACAAUGGGGGCAACCCUGAUCCAGCAAUGCCGCGUGUGUGAAGAAGGCCUUCGGAUUGUAAAGCACUUUUAGCAGGAAAGAAUGGUCGCGUGCUAAUACCGCGCGAUUGUGACGUUACUUGCAGAAAAAGCACCGGCUAACUCCGUGCCAGCAGCCGCGGUAAUACGGAGGGUGCAAGCGUUAAUCGGAAUUACUGGGCGUAAAGCGCGCGUAGGCGGCUUGCUAAGUCGGAUGUGAAAUCCCCGGGCUCAACUUGGGAACUGCAUUCGAUACUGGCUCGCUAGAGUGUGGUAGAGGGAAGUGGAAUUCCAGGUGUAGCGGUGAAAUGCGUAGAUAUCUGGGGGAACAUCAGUGGCGAAGGCGGCUUCCUGGACCAACACUGACGCUGAGGCGCGAAAGCGUGGGGAGCAAAC